UAGCCUGACAUGAAGUUAAGAUUAAUAGUAUUUUCUUCAGCCACACCAUCAAAGUUGAACCUACGGGCAGGAGUCUUUCUCAUUCUCAUCAAAUAGUGCUAGGAACCAAAAAUUCUCUUUCUCAGGUGUAGUAUUCUCUUAAUCAGUGGUGAUAUAACACAGUUCCAUGGACCAUCCAGGUAUUUAGUAAGUAUUACAAUGAUUUGAUAUGUUCUUUGAUCCUUGAUAGAAUGGUCGGUCCCCUAACCUGGUCCUUUAUCCAGUGGCUCUGAUCUCAGGGAGAAGCAUCACUCCAUCCCAUUUGUGCAAGUCACAAUCCUGGCAGUUGUCCUGGACUCCUCUCUUUUUCCUCAUCCUUGUCCAUACUAGAUGCAGCACUGGGUCCUAAUGAUUUUACUUCUUAAAUGUUUCUUGAAACCAUCCACUUCUCUGCAUGGCCACCACUCUAUCCCAAGCCCUUAUCAUAUGUGCUUAGACCACUGCAGAAGCCACCUCUCUACAGCCAGUGUGAUCUUUCAGACACACAUCUAUGAGACCUCCAGUGAUCUGCCGCUGGUGUUAGGAUAUCGACCAAAGGCAAUUUCAUGGACGGUAGAGGAAGAAGACCCCACUGGAUACAUUUGAUUGAAAAAUUUCUCCCAGUGAUGACCGAAGUACUGCUGGAAAGAAGUCUUAGAUCCAGCUAAACAUGGUCCUUUCUAAGGAAGAACUGAUCAAGAUAUGACUGAAGAAGGAUGUCGUAUGAUGGACAUAAUACACCACACGAAGUCAUGUUCCUACGUGAUGGAGUCCACGUGUGUCCAGCCCUGUGUGUUGCGUCAGACAGCAUUUUGCAACAGGGAAGAUCUCAAAACAUGUUUUUAAACACAUGUUGCUCCCAGUGUGCCAGGUAAUGUUCUAAGUGCUGUUUAAAUAGUGACACUUUAAUCCUCAUAACAACCCUAUGAGACAGGUAGUAUUAUUAUAAUCUCCAUUUUACAGACAGGGAAACUGAGGCACAGAGGGGUUAGUGACUUGCCCAGGAUCUUAAAGCUAAUGAGACACCUUAGCGUUGGAACCCAGGGAGUCUGACUCCCAAGCUUGUGCUUUAAUCAUUAAGCUGUUUUCCUCCCGUCCUUAAUCGAACACUGCAUGUCUCUUCCUUGCCCAAGGAAGCAGUGGGACCACCUCCUGCAUUGUACGGUGAGCAAGGCCUUGUUCUGAGCAGUAGUGUGGUCGUUGAGUUUGUGGACCUUGAGCUGGAUGCUGGCGUUCAGAUCCAGCUCUUCCACUCCUGGCUGGGGCAGGCUGCCUUGUCUCUUCGUGUGCUGGUGUCCUCAGCUGUAAGUGGGGGUGGCAGUGCUUACCCCUCUCAAGGUGGUUGGGAGGUUACCUUAGUUAACAUGUGUGAAGCACUUGGAUCAGUGCCUGGCACACAGUAGUUCUCGUCAGUGUUUGUUAUCAGUGUUCUUUGAAGGACUUCCAUGGUGCCCGUCAGAGUUCAUCAGCAGAGGAUUUAGUGUUUAACCAUCAGGUAUAGGAAAGAUUCAGAAUUUGUCUGUCUGGGUAUUUUGGCAGUCUUUCUUUUAUUAGGAUGUAAGCAUGAUUGCAGAAGAACGUGGCACAUUGCCCUAGUUUGAUAAUACUAUCAUGAUUGUCAUCAAAAUCCCCACUUGAAUGAUUUCUGUAUUAUUAACUGAAUUCUAACUUAGAGUGUCUUGUUUGUAGAGGCAAGUGACUUCAGCUCGUAUGGGGGAUAUCAGUCCUUGAUAACUCACCUGC